GGAAGACACUUCACUACUCAGCUGUCCAAGCAAAUGGUCUACUUGUCCUGUGUCAGAAGGCAACUACUUGGCUCAGUGUGAAACUACAUACUGUUCACCCUUCAGAACUUGAAUGCUGCUGGCAAGUGAAACUCCUGGAGCUCUGUUUCUCACCAAACCCAGAAUUUGGACCCAGUUCUGCCACCUCAUUCACUUGAGCAUUUCAGUGACUUUGGUAGAGUUGGAACAUUAUUCAAGCAUAUCUUGCAACCCUAAGAUAAACAUUACUUUCCUUUUUACAGCCAAAAGAACAAGUCUCUGAGAGAUCAGAAGAUUUAGGAAAUACUAUCCAAACUUUACCUGUCCCCUUCUCUGCUGUCUGAGCCUCCCAGUGUCUGGAAUUUUGAAAUUGAAAUUCCUUUGAUGCCUGAAGGAGUUCUCCCAAGCACAUUGGAUGUUCUUGGUUCCUGCUGCUGCAUGGAUCAUUUUGCAGCUGAAGACUAAGCCUGUCAAGAUUCACAAACCUCAUUCUGAUUCUUCACUUAGCUUUUUUAAAGGACCAUUUGUCACAUGUACCCAGAGACCUGCUGCAUUGGCCUUCAUGUAAAAUGGAAGUUCUUCUGUCCAGAGCAAUGGAUGAGGCAAGACAUUUGUGUUCUUCACAGCUUGAAUCAGGGGGCCUGACCUCACUUUCCCCCUGAGCCUGGCAGAUUUGCUCUAGCCAUCAGGACACAGGUUCCAUUAAUUUGAAGGACGAGCUGGGGAAAAUUACCUAAGUCUCCAUAUGAAGCCAUGGUGCUA